rnacentral:rRNA from 1 species
AUGAACGCUGGCGGCGUGCCUAAUACAUGCAAGUCGAGCGAACAGACGAGGAGCUUGCUCCUCUGACGUUAGCGGCGGACGGGUGACUAACACGUGGAUAACCUACCUAUAAGACUGGGAUAACUUCGGGAAACCGGAGCUAAUACCGGAUAAUAUAUUGAACCGCAUGGUUCAAUAGUGAAAGACGGUUUUGCUGUCACUUAUAGAUGGAUCCGCGCCGCAUUAGCUAGUUGGUAAGGUAACGGCUUACCAAGGCAACGAUGCGUAGCCGACCUGAGAGGGUGAUCGGCCACACUGGAACUGAGACACGGUCCAGACUCCUACGGGAGGCAGCAGUAGGGAAUCUUCCGCAAAGGGCGAAAGCUUGACGGAGCAACGCCGCGUGAGUGAUGAAGGUCUUCGGAUCGUAAAACUCUGUUAUUAGGGAAGAACAAAUGUGUAAGUAACUAUGCACGUCUUGACGGUACCUAAUCAGAAAGCCACGGCUAACUACGUG